UCAUAUGUACAUGCCUACAACAUUAAUGUACCUAAUCCCAUUAGAACUCCACAGUUAAGUGCACUUGGGAUAAAGUAGUAUGGGGAUGGGUGAUCUCUUGAGAAGUCUUGGUGUUUUACAUGCC
rnacentral:rRNA from 1 species